AUACCGUCGAAUGGGACUUAAAUUCUCAAAACGACCGACCGAGUCGUUACAGGGAGUUACCUAGAUGACUACAAUAGAUUAGAGGCAUACGCACAAGAAUUGAGAGAGAGCAAUGUUGGUUCUGAUGUGGUGAUAAAUAUAUCCAAGGAAGCCUUGGCAGAAGGUAAAAGAAGAUUCCUUAGGAUGUAUGUGUACUUCCAAGCUAUGAAACAUGGCUUUAAAGAUGGUUUGAGACCUUUUAUAGGGUUGGAUGGCACAUUUUUAAAAGGAAAAUGCAAGGGGCAGUUGUUGGUGGCUGUUGGACGAGAUUCUGUGAAUUAUUUCUAUCUAAUUGCUUGGGCGGUGGUGGAUAAAGAAACCAAUAGGACAUGAAGUUGGUUUGUGGAGAUGCUGAAGAUUUCAUUGGACUUGAAGGACGGUGAAUGGGUGACCUUUAUCUCAGAUAUGCAAAAGGGGUUGCUGGAUGCUACUUCUGUAGUGGUUCCUAAAGCAAAUCACAGAUUUUGUGUAAGACACAUUGAAGCUAACUGGGCAAAGAAAAACAAGAGAGGUGGGGAGAUGAGGAAGGUGUUGUGGUGGUGUGCUUGGAGCACAUAUGAUGAAGAUUUUAAGGAUCAACUAAAGAAUUUGGGUUCUUUAUCUGAACAAGCUGUCAAAGACCUAUUAUGGUAUCCACCUCAAAUUUGGUGUAGACCGUACUUUGACACAAAAUACAAGAAUAAUAUGGUGGAUAAUAAUUUCACAGAAUCCUUCAGUUCUUGAAUUCUGGAAGCCAGGUCAAAAUCUAUCAUAAAGAUGCUGGAGGAUAUUAGGAUCAAGGUAAUGAAUAUGAUCAGGGAGCAUGAAGAUGAAGCUAGAAAUUAGAAAGAAGAUAUCAGUCCACUUGCAAUGAGGUUGCUUAAGGACUACAAGCACAUUGCACAAAGGUGCAAAGUUAUAUUUAAUGGAGAUAAUGGGUAUGAAGUAACAGAGGGUGUAGAUAGGCAUACAAUUAACUUAUUGAUGAAGAGGUGUACAUAUAGGGCAUAAGACUUGUCUGGGAUCCCAUGUCCUCAUGCCAUCAAAGCACUGAUUCAUAAAAAGGUUGAUCCACUGACUGAGGUACAUUAGUGAUACUGUAAGGAGGCUUAUAUGCUGGUUUAUAAGCAUAAGGUGCAACCUGUUAGAGGUGAAAAAUUCUGUAAUGUGGAGCCACAUCAUGCCAUGGAACCAUCACCUUUAGCUAAAAUGGUUGGUAGACCAAGGGUGAAGAGAACAAGAGAAAAGGCGAGGCUAGGAAAAGGGAGGGGAUAUGGUCAGCUUCAAGAAAAGGGCUUCACAUGACAUGCGGUUAUUGUAGUUCACCAAGACAUAACAUCAGAAGAUGUCCAAUAGUCAAAGGAAAGCACAAUCUAUCUUAUGAAGAAACUUCUCAAUCACUAGAAGUUAUUCAUAUGACAGCACCUCAAGAUUCCCAAGAUUCAGAAUUUGUGUUCAUUCAUGUUCCUGGAUUAAAUAUAUCUUAUCAAUAUUCCAGUCACUCAAGUCAACAUGAAUCUGAUUCGACCUUUCAGUCUGAAGCUAACACACAAUUUUAUGAUGUUGACAAGAUUGGGUGUGAAUCUGAUCCAACUCUAAUGCCCAAGGUGAUUUCUGAAGCUAACACUAGGCUUAAACAAAGGCAACUGCUGCAAAAUCCUACUGGUACCAGGAAGAUCAAUUUCAUGGGAGAUGAAAAUGAUUUAUAUUUACCCUCUGAUCUGUCAUAUUCCCCAAGAAAGAUCACUUGGGAAGGAAAAUCAGCAAUGACCUCAAACCAAUUGGUAGAAAAAAAGGAAAGAAGAAUUACAAAACUGAAAGCUAAAAGGGCCAUGCUUUAGGACAAUUAGAAGUUAAAUUAUUUUGCUGGUUGCGAUGAUGUUAUGUAAUAUCAAUAGACUUAUAGACAUGUAAACUGAUUAU